AACGCACAUUGCGCCCGCCAGCAUUCUGGCGGGCAUGCCUGUCCGAGCGUCAUUUCAACCCUCAAGCCCCAGCGGCCUGGUGUUGGGGGACGGCCGCCUCUACAGCGAGCGGCCGCCCCCGAAAUGAAUUGGCGGCCUCGGCGCCGCCUCCCCCUGCGUAGUAGCGACAGCAGUCUCGCACCGGGAGCGCGCCGCGGCCACUGCCGUAAAACGCCCAACUUUUUCACGAGUUGACCUCGGAUCAGGUAGGACUACCCGCUGAACUUAA
rnacentral:misc_RNA from 1 species